GGGGGCCGCUUGCUGCCCGCCUCAGUCAGACACCGCUCCGCUCCGGCCUCGGACGGAAAACAGUCCCCAGCGCCACCUCCGCGGCCGCUGCUACCGCUACUGAGCCAACAAAGGGGCGUGCGUCACCGCGCCGCGCUGCGUCAUCGCGUCAGUCCUCUGUGCGUCACCGCGCCACGCCCCUUGGCCCCUGCGUAGUAUACGGGGAGACCCCACGGCCGGGCCGGAGGAAGGACGGGAACGCGGCGGCGCAGCGGUGGCCCGGCUGGACUGAGAACCCGCAGGUCCUUGACGAGAGGAGGCUGAGGCCUUCCGGUCGCGGGGAGGGGCCCGGGAAGCGCCCAGGCAGAGGUUCUCGCCGCGGGCCUUCCUCGCUUCCGGGCCUCACCGGCACUUGUCGCCCGCCGUGGCUAGUUCCGGAAAGCCAUCUGCUGCUCAGCUAAAAUUCCGGUUGCCCGAGUCACUGCCUGGAAGGUGGUAGUACGAGGAAACUCCAAAUUGUGUGACAGGUUUCCAUGAAAACUUGAAGGCUAGAAGAAAGAGGAGGGGGAGGCCGAAUGUCCUUUGCUUCUGUACCACUCCUUAUCUGGGAUUUCUCUGAGGCACGUGUCCAUCUCACCUCACACAUCUCCAGCUUUUGAUGCUGCAUUGCAAGUUAAGAUUGAAACAGAAAUCCAAACAGACAGGAGACAAAGCCCAGAGUGCAGCUUGCUUGUCACUGCAUGAAGGACUGCAGAUUGGAGUGAGCUGCCACAGCCCAGAAACAUCAGUGCUGGGUGUGUCCCCAGAACACCAAAGCUUACCAAAAUGAAAAAGCUUGUCUUCUGUCUUUUACUUCUUUUGGUUUUUUUGUUCUUCUGGUAUCUUCUUUUGGAAACAAUACCAUGAUUUAAAAGUCAUAACAGGGCUUGGGACAGCUCAGCACUACAACACAAGCCUAGCAAACACAACGGCCUGUGCUCAGUUCUCAGCACCCAACAGCUACAACCAAUGGAAUCACCUCUUCCAACUCCAGGAACCAAAUGUCACCUCUUCCAGUCAUGUCUCAAGAGGGCAGAGAACAAGUUUCUCUAUACCCUCAGUCAAUAUCAGUAGAGUAAUAAUGGAAAGCUUAUGGUAUGUGACUGCUUGUCAAGAAUUCUCUAUGAAUUGCUUCACAUUUUGCUUUUAUGAACAGAUAAUUUUGCAGGCAAGAUGGCUCAGUGGGUCGACAUUUCUUACUGAGACUCAUGGCAUAAGCUUGAUCCCUGGGACCCACGUGGUAGAAGAAGAACCAAUUCCUGCAAGUUGUACUUUGACCUACAUAUGCACAUGUACAUAUAUGCAUGCACACAUAAUAAAUGCAAAAAAAGGGAGUUUAACAUGCUUAGAAGUUGAAUAACAUACUCAGCUGCCAAAACACUAGAGUUCCCACUUUAAAGAGUUUAUACUGAAAUCAAUACAUUGUCUCUCCAUGUUACUAAAUAAAAUGGCCUCAAAGUGCUGUCUUAGUUA